CUCUAUAGAAAACCCGUUUAAUAUUUCCUAGAUCUCUAAGCCUUCUUCUUCAUUUCCAACUUGCAAGGUGGCGGAAAAAACUCGACCGGUGAGAAUAAGAAAACUCUCACCCCUUAAACUUCUUCUUUUGCCUCGAAUCUGCUUCGAACCCGAAAUCAUUCCCUACAUUCUUAAACCCACAAUUGCAAUUUGCUCCGCCUUCUUCAUUUCUGACUUCCAAAAUGUGGCGGCAAAAAAUUCCACCGGGGAAUCGAGAUUCGGGCGAGAUCCUCUCAGAUGAGGACGAGCUGGAGCUGGAUCAGGUCACCUACGACAAUGACUGCACCCAGAAUCUUCAGUCUCUCAUUUCCAAUGAGAAGAAGGUA